GACGUAGGGGGCCAGCGUUGUUCGGAAUUACUGGGUGUAAAGGGUUCGUAGGCGGUGCGGCAAGUCGGGAGUGAAAUCUCUGGGCUUAACCCAGAGGCUGCUUCCGAAACGCUGUGCUUGAGUGUGGGAGAGGCGCGUGGAAUUGCAGGUGUAGCGGUGAAAUGCGUAGAUAUCUGCAGGAACACCCGUGGCGAAAGCGGCGCGCUGGACCACUACUGACGCUGAGGAACGAAAGCUAGGGGAGCAAACAGG
rnacentral:rRNA from 1 species